rnacentral:rRNA from 1 species
AGUGAACGCUGGCGGUAGGCCUAACACAUGCAAGUCGAACGGCAGCACAGUAAGAGCUUGCUCUUACGGGUGGCGAGUGGCGGACGGGUGAGGAAUACAUCGGAAUCUACUUUUUCGUGGGGGAUAACGUAGGGAAACUUACGCUAAUACCGCAUACGACCUACGGGUGAAAGCAGGGGAUCUUCGGACCUUGCGCGAUUGAAUGAGCCGAUGUCGGAUUAGCUAGUUGGCGGGGUAAAGGCCCACCAAGGCGACGAUCCGUAGCUGGUCUGAGAGGAUGAUCAGACACACUGGAACUGAGACACGGUCCAGACUCCUACGGGAGGCAGCAGUGGGGAAUAUUGGACAAUGGGCGGAAGCCUGAUCCAGCCAUACCGCGUGGGUGAAGAAGGCCUUCGGGUUGUAAAGCCCUUUUGUUGGGAAAGAAAAGCAGCAGGUUAAUACCCCGCUGUUCUGACGGUACCCAAAGAAUAAGCACCGGCUAAGUUCGUG